rnacentral:rRNA from 1 species
AUACGGAGGGGGUUAGCGUUGUUCGGAAUUACUGGGCGUAAAGCGCGCGUAGGCGGACUGGAAAGUUGGGGGUGAAAUCCCGGGGCUCAACCCCGGAACUGCCUCCAAAACUUCCAAUCUAGAGAUCGAGAGAGGGGAGUGGAAUUCCAAGUGUAGAGGUGAAAUUCGUAGAUAUUUGGAGGAACACCAGUGGCGAAGGCGGCUCACUGGCUCGAUACUGACGCUGAGGUGCGAAAGCGUGGGGAGCAAACAGGAUUAGAAACCCCAGUAGUCC